AAGUCGAACGAUGAACCACUUCGGUGGGGAUUAGUGGCGAACGGGUGAGUAACACGUGGGCAAUCUGCCCUUCACUCUGGGACAAGCCCUGGAAACGGGGUCUAAUACCGGAUAAUACUUCCACUCUCCUGGGUGGAGGUUAAAAGCUCCGGCGGUGAAGGAUGAGCCCGCGGCCUAUCAGCUUGUUGGUGAGGUAAUGGCUCACCAAGGCGACGACGGGUAGCCGGCCUGAGAGGGCGACCGGCCACACUGGGACUGAGACACGGCCCAGACUCCUACGGGAGGCAGCAGUGGGGAAUAUUGCACAAUGGGCGAAAGCCUGAUGCAGCGACGCCGCGUGAGGGAUGACGGCCUUCGGGUUGUAAACCUCUUUCAGCAGGGAAGAAGCGAAAGUGACGGUACCUGCAGAAGAAGCGCCGGCUAACUACGUGCCAGCAGCG
rnacentral:rRNA from 1 species